UACGGGGGGGGCAAGCGUUGUUCGGAAUUACUGGGCGUAAAGGGCGCGUAGGCGGCGCGAGUAGUCAACGGUGAAAGCCCGGGGCUCAACCCCGGGUCGGCCGUCGAUACUCUCGUGCUUGAGCACUGUAGAGGCAGGUGGAAUUCCGGGUGUAGCGGUGGAAUGCGUAGAGAUCCGGAAGAACACCGGUGGCGAAGGCGGCCUGCUGGGCAGUAGCUGACGCUGAGGCGCGACAGCGUGGGGAGCAAACAGG
rnacentral:rRNA from 1 species